rnacentral:sRNA from 1 species
GUUUAUCGAAUUUUUAGACAAUUCAAUUAAAUAAAACCAUUCAUUCGAGAGGAGUAUAAUAAAAUGACCAAAAACCAUAUGCAAUACAAACCAACAACUUCAAAUAUUUUAGUCAUUUUAUUAUGCUAUUAGGACUGGAACUUUAGUGAAGAAUUUACUAAACGUUUAAGUCCUCUUUCUAGUUGAAUGGGACUUGAAA